rnacentral:rRNA from 1 species
UGGGGAAUAUUGCACAAUGGGCGCAAGCCUGAUGCAGCCAUGCCGCGUGUAUGAAGAAGGCCUUCGGGUUGUAAAGUACUUUCAGCGGGGAGGAAGGGAGUAAAGUUAAUACCUUUGCUCAUUGACGUUACCCGCAGAAGAAGCACCGGCUAACUCCGUGCCAGCAGCCGCAGUAAUACGGAGGGUGCAAGCGUUAAUCGGAAUUACUGGGCGUAAAGCGCACGCAGGCGGUUUGUUAAGUCAGAUGUGAAAUCCCCGGGCUCAACCUGGGAACUGCAUCUGAUACUGGCAAGCUUGAGUCUCGUAGAGGGGGGUAGAAUUCCAGGUGUAGCGGUGAAAUGCGUAGAGAUCUGGAGGAAUACCGGUGGCGAAGGCGGCCCCCUGGACGAAGACUGACGCUCAGGUGCGAAAGCGUGGGGAGCAAACA